CGGGCCAACGAUAAAUGAUAACAGAAAUUAUUGAUGUAUGAACUAUGAUGUAUGUUCAAAUUUGAAUAGCAUAAAGUAUAACUGUGGAAGUUCUUAGCUGAGAGCAAAGAAAAACUAAUUGGUGUAAUUAUUUAAUCUAGUUCUGAUGCUCGACUUCUACAUCAGGUGAUUUUUCAUUUAAUCUAUGCUUCUGUUAUAUUCGUUUGAAGUGUGGUAAGUUGUAUCAAAUGGAAGCAAAUAUUGAUAAAUGCAAUUUAUAUUUAUAGAAAAACCAUGCAAUAAAAGGGGUGUAAGAACGAUGAUAUGUAAUAAUGAAAGGCUACAAAAUAACUAAUUGUAUAAGAGACAAACAAUUUGGGAUUGCUUGCGGCACAUUCAAUGUUCUUCGCAUUAAAGGAUGUCAAAAAUUAAAGAUACAUGAUGCAAAUGUAACAGUAAUAUUGCAAGAUGGUACAGUUAUUUAUGAUGAAGAAUAUUUUCAAACAUUGCCCAGCCAGACAUUAUUUAUUUUUAAAUUAAAAGGAGAAACUUUUCAUUCAGGUGCUGAUAUAGUGUAUAAUGCAUUAAAAUCAGUCAAUAUUGAUUUACUAAGAACGUCAAUUAAAAUUAAAGAAUUUAUGGAUGUCAACAUUAAAGAAAAAAUUCAAGUAUUAACUUCUAUUUUACAUGCCGAUCAAAAUGAAGUAUUGACUAAUCUAACUGCUUGUAGUUUAAAGACAAAACACCCUCAGUGGUUUGAAGAUUUAGAUACAGUAGCAAAUACAAAAGAAGAGUUCAUGUUCAAACGCUGUCAAGACCGUAUACGAAAUUAUAUGUAUAAAACUAAAGCGGAUAUCAAAAAGUCUGAUAUUUAUUUAAGUGAUAGUAAACAAAGACAUUAUUUGAAUGAAGUACUUGAAAAAUUUACUGUCCUUUUAAAUACAAACAAAUAUAAUGGACAUUAUUUUGAUAGAUCGAGUGAUAAAUGCCUUUGUGACAAAUUAGGAACAUUUUUGUGUGAGGGUGCGUGGAAUCAAAAUAGCUGUUUUUAUGAGCAGGGUACUGGCCACAAAAUUAAUCCUUACCAAAGUAGAGAAAGUAGAAUUAUUUUUUCGACUUGGAAUCUGGAUCAUUGGGCAGAAAGGUCAAGAUCGGUGAUACCGUCGUUGUUUAAAGCUAGCACACGGGCAACUGUUGGAAAUAAAUCAAUAAAUGUAAAUUAUUUUUAUAAUUUACUUUUUACUACCAACAAUCUCAAACUUGUUCAUAUUGUUUGCCAUGACAAAGGACAACACGAUAGUGCUAAGUGUGACCCUGAAUAUUUUUUAGAAACAAAAAAGGUGAUAGAACAUACUAAACACAGUAGCAAAUCAAAGAAUACACAUAUUCUGCAAAAGUAUUUUUGACAAUUAUUGUAUGAUAUUUGUAUACGGUUUUUAAAAAAAUAUAACUAUAUCUGUAUGCAAGUCCUAUUAUGUAGAGCAAUUACUAAUUGCACAUUUUUUUUUCUUCAAAACACCUCUUAAGAACUUUAACGAAAUGUGCAUAGCUCUAUCUCACAUUGACACUGGCCAGAAGAUAGAAAUAAAAUCUGAUAAUAUAAAUUACCAUGGCAACCUAUUAUUUGGGAACAAGUACAGGCGACAGUGCUUAACACUAUCAACAGACGCUUGGUAUGUGUAAUGUACAAAUUGUAAGUUGUAACCAUUUGAACACUUUGUUUCCCUAUAAUUAUUGUAACAAAUAAUUAUUUUAACUACUCAGUUAUAGCGUAAUUUACCGUGUGACUUUAUGAAUGUAAUACACCUUU